UACGAAGGGGGCUAGCGUUGCUCGGAAUCACUGGGCGUAAAGGGCGCGUAGGCGGCCUGAUCAGUCGGGGGUGAAAGCCUGUGGCUCAACCACAGAAUGGCCUCGAUACUGUCAGGCUUGAGACCGGAAGAGGUAAGUGGAACUGCGAGUGUAGAGGUGAAAUUCGUAGAUAUUCGCAAGAACACCAGUGGCGAAGGCGGCUUACUGGUCCGGAUCUGACGCUGAGGCGGACGAAAGCGUGGGGAGCAAACAGG
rnacentral:rRNA from 1 species